UGGCACCUUCGGUGUCCGAGUUGUAAUUUGAAGAUUGUAACCUUGGGGUUGGCUCUUGUCUAUGUUUCUUGGAACAGGACGUCACAGAGGGUGAGAAUCCCGUGCGAUGAGAUGCCCAAUCCUAUGUAAGGUGCUUUCGAAGAGUCGAGUUGUUUGGGAAUGCAGCUCUAAGUGGGUGGUAAAUUCCAUCUAAAGCUAAAUAUUGGCGAGAGACCGAUAGCGAACAAGUACAGUGAUGGAAAGAUGAAAAGAACUUUGAAAAGAGAGUGAAAAAGUACGUGAAAUUGUUGAAAGGGAAGGGUUUGAGAUCAGACUCGAUAUUUUGUGAGCCUUGCCUUCGUGGCGGGGUGACCCGCAGCUUAUCGGGCCAGCAUCGGUUUGGGCGGUAGGAUAAUGGCGUAGGAAUGUGACUUUGCUUCGGUGAAGUGUUAUAGCCUGCGUUGAUGCUGCCUGCCUAGACCGAGGACUGCGAUUUUAUCAAGGAUGCUGGCAUAAUGAUCCCAAACCGC
rnacentral:rRNA from 1 species